CAAAAUUGAAAAACAAUGGUUCAAUUAUUAAAUAAUAUGAAUUAUUGAUAUGUUAUAUUCAUUAGACAAUCCUCAAAUGAUGGAAUAUGACUCACAUGUAAGAAGACCUAAUUGAAAUCAUCUAGACAUGUUCUCAUAAAAAAUAAAAAAAAAGAUAGUAGAAUGGAUGUCAGACAUGGAUUACAGAAACUAUAAAUUUUCUUGGUAACAUUUUAGAUAGUCUUCUUAAAAAAGAUUCUUUGUAACAUGAGGAAAAUUCAAUCUUAAUAAAAGCACUAUAAUUUUCCGCUAAACAUCCAUUUGCCAUAAAACCGCAAACAAAAUGAGAAGAACGUCACACAAGAGCCAAAUACAAAACUCUGAAACAGUACGCAGAACACCCCAAGUUCUUGUUCAAAUCAACAAGGUAGCAUUCUCCACCCAAACACACCAUGUGUUUACAAAGAUAGCAGAUCAAUCAACAAUUUAUAUUUAAUUGUUCUUUUGAUAUGAAUUAAUAGUCAAAAACUCAUCAAAUCAGUGAUACAGUACUAAAACUAGAGCUUACAUUUUGUUGACAAUUCUUUGGCGUGAUUCAGGCUGCAAUUGACCUCUCCAAUCACUAGUAUCCAUAUUCGGUUCAGCACCUUGAUUAGGUCUCCAAUUAUUGGUAUCCAUUGAAUUUAAAUUAACUGAAACCACAAAAAGCCAAAAGAAAAUUAAUGUUCUUGUCAAAUCAGACUCUGAAAGGAAAGUAUAAAACCAGAUUAUACACAAAUAUAAAAUUAAAAAUGGUAAUAAAUGGCGGUUACUGACUUGUCGGAGCGCCAAAAAGGGCUAUCAAUAAAAUCGUGCUUUUAGUCCCUAACAUCAGCUUAUUGGGCUAUGAUGUCAUGGACUAAAAUCAUAUUUAAGCUAAAAAACACAAUACAUAAGGCAAUCAAAUCUAUAAACAUUGUCGCGGUUUCUAACAUAUAUAAUGUAAAAGUUGUGUUAUUUAAACAUUUUUAUCUCUAUCUCUCGUAAUUUUUACCUUCAAAAACUUGCACGUUUUUCAAAAACACACAAAAACAAAAGACACCGUAAUUUAUAUCAAAAUUUGUAUUCAAAAUAUCAUUACUCAUAGAUAAUAUAAUAAUCAUUUGUUCAACUGACAUGCGCGCCAAAAAUUAGCGCGCGCAUAUCAGUUGAAAAAAUUAUUAUUAUAUCAUCAUGUAUGAGUAAUGAUAUUUUGACAUAAAAAAUUGAUUGAGGAUUUCCAUGAGGAAAAUCCUUGAGAAGAUUCCAUGGAUUGUAGUAGUUGAAACAAACAAUGGUUUUAGUUUUAUCAUCUAACUAAACAUGUUAAUUAACUAACCUUAUACCUAGCAAAAUAAGAAUUAUCUUACGAAGAAUAACAGAAUCAAAAGCAAAAGUAAGGUGAAAAAAACAAAUACACGAAUCAUAUAUAUCUAGCGUUAUUCUUGUUGAUCGAUUAUUAUUCAUUCUUAUCCAAAGAGAUGAUUAAUUUUUCUUGGAAGAUCUCAACUAUUUCUUCUUCAAAGCCUUUGAAUUCAAUCAAACCGAAUCAAACAAAUAGUAGCAAAAUCAACGAGAAGAUUUAUUCAUUCAAAAAAUGAACGAGAGAGAGAGAGAGAGGGAGUGAAAUGGAACCUGAUGGCGGUGGCAGAGGCGGUGGAGAUGGAUGAAUAUUCCUCCUCCUCCGCCGAUGGUGGUUAACGGUGGCGUUGUUGCGUGUCUGAAUGGGGAGCUUGAAGGUUAAUUGAAUUGAGGCACUCUCUCCCAAUGUCAAAGAAACUUGUAAGAAAGACCGACUUCAUGUCAUCAUUCAUGUUUAUAUAUAUAAGACUUGUCUUAAAUUUAAAGACUCCCUCACUUUCCAUUUUUUUAAUAUAUAAUUUAAUUUAAUACAAAAAGUUUAUUCGUAAAUAGUUGUAAGGACGUUAAUAUGCAUGAUCUUAGUUCGAAAAUGAGAUUUUUGUCCAUGUAGAUUUAAAAUAUGUAAGUCUAUCAUUCGGUUAUUUAACAAAAAAAAAAAAAUUUAACAAUAUAUUUUUCAACUCUUCUCUCUAAUUAAAUGGUUAAAAUUCACAUGACUUUUACCAAAUUUAUAUUGGAUUCAUAUGAUUUGAUGUGACCUAAAUGAAUUUUAAUUGACAAAAGUGAAUGUCUUGAAAAAAAAUAUGUAUUAAAUAGUAUGUUAUUGUCGUAUAAAUACAACUCAGUUGAUAAUCGCAACAAUAAUAAAGGAAAUGCUAACAAGUUAUCGAUAAUAAAAAAAAAAAAAACCUUUUUACAUGAAAGUUAUCGAUUAUUUUCAUUUUUAAAUUUUUAACAAGUGUUCUUAGAACAUUUAUCAGCAACACCCAAUCAAUAAUACGCACGGAUUAAAUUUUGAACCUUAAAUUCCCGACUGUCCAUGUUUCAAAUGUGUUGUUUGGAGUUUGCAUGAUGACUAAUGAUGGCUUAGAUGACAAAAAAAAUCAUUGAAUUGAAUCAAGUUUGAUCAUAGUAAUAAUAUCACAAACUUGAUAUGCUAGGUUAAGCUAUGAAUUAAUUUUUGAAAAUGUGAAAGUUCAUGAUUGUUAUUUUCAUUUGAUUCUCUCUUUUUUAGAGAAUUUCUUAAAAUGUGAAACUCGCACUUUGUUUUUGUUCGAAUUUUUCUCAUACAAUUAAAGUUUUAAGCGGCAUACCAUGUCGUUUGCUCAUUAUUCUCUUUAUUUAUCUUUCAUUGUGAUUUCAUAUAAAGUAUAAUUUAUCUAGUGAUGGUCGUGUGAUUAUGUGAACAUAACUUAUAGUUGACAAGGAUAUUGUAAUAUGCAGAACUAGGGUUUGAACUUAAACCCUCACUUAUUCGGACCUAGAUCCCCUGUUGUAACUGCUUCACGCAGUUACAUGCAAUAGUUGAUGAUCUUAGCCACAGAAAAAUGAUUCAAUGGUUUAGAUUUUUUUUUUUUUUUGCCAGUUAUCACACAGUUUGAUCUCAGUCGUCAAUAAAAAUUAAACAACUAAGAUCUGUUACAGCAGGACGCUGUAACAACACCAAAUCUCAUUCCCACUUAUUCACCUUAAUGAAUGAAUUUUUAACCAUUACUUGACAAUAAAAAAUAUUAAUCUAGUGUUAAAAAUCAUAAAAGUGCUAGUGAUUAUUUCGUCUCCGAAAUCAUAGAUGAUAUGAGACCGACACUUUUUUUCUUUUGUUCAAUAUCUUCUUUCGAAAUAAAAGUUUUUAUUAUAAUAACAUUUUUUAGAUAACAUAUUCAUUUUAUCGUUUUUUAAUAAUUUACAUGUUAAUUCUGAAUUCUUAUGCAAAGGACAGAGAGAGAUUGAGAAAAACUAAACAAUGCGGGAACGAAAUAUAAACUGUGAGAACCCUGCUUAUUAAUAUUUAAUAUAGUGCUAGCAAAUCUUUUUCUAAAAUAUUUUGAGUCCUAAUCUUUUUUUAGAGGAUUUAAAGUCCAAUCUUUAACAUUAUUUUUUAAUCAAGUUUGUUACUAAUCUUUUUUUAGAGGAUUUAAAGUCCAAUCUUUAACAUUACAUUUUGCUCAUGUUUGUUACUAAUCUUUUUUUUCCAGAGGAUUUAAAGUCCAAUCUUUAACAUUAUUUUUUACUCACGUUUGUUACUAAUAAUUUUUUUAGAGGAUUUAAAGUCCAAUCUUUAACAUUAUUUUUUUCUCACGUUUAUUACUAAUUUUUUUUAGAGGAUUUAAAGUCCAAUCUAUAACAUUAUAUUUUGCUCACGUUUGUUACUAGUAUUUUUUUAGAGGAUUUUUAGUCCAAUCUUUAACAAUAUUUUUUGCUCAAGUUUGUUACUAAUCUUUUUUUUAAAGGAUUUAAAGUCCAAUCUUUAACAAUAUUUUUUGCUCACGUUUGUUACUAAUAUUUUUUUUAAAGGAUUUAAAGUCAAAUAUUUAACAUUAAUUUUUGCUCACGUUUGUUACUAAUAUUUUUUUAGAGGAUUUAAAGUUCAGUCUUUACCAUUACUUUUUGCUCACGUUUGUUACAAUUGAUCAAAGGCUAAGAAAUAGUAACUUAUAUCUAUAAAAUAAUAAAUAAUAUGGAAAUACUGUUUUUUGUGAAAGGGAUAUGAAAAUAUUUAGCAAUCUUUGUUGGUUGUAUUGAGGGGAACAACACAGAUGUAGAACAUAAAAACGGCUGGUAAAAAAGUAAUAUGAGUUUUUGUUGUGUGCUAGUUUUUUGUGAAUUUGAUCUUUGGUUAAUGGAGGUAAAAAAGGGUUAACGGGGAAAAUUAGUGAGAUGGAUUACUAAUGUUAUUUUAUAAUUGACUAUUUGUAUUUAAAAUUAAGGGUAUUUUUAGAAAGAAAAGUCCAACCUAAAAGUGUGCUGAAAGGGGUAGUUUUCUUUAUAUAUAUAUAUAUAUAUAUAUAUAUAUAUAUAUAUAUAUAUAUAUAUAUAUAUAUAUAUAUAUAUAUAUAUAUAUAUAUUAUUUUGAAUAGAAGUUCUAAAGGUCUUCAUUAUUUUCCCUUGUUUAUAUAAAGUAAACUUAAUGUAGUGUUGAAUGUCUGAAAAGUGUUAAGUCAACGUUUCUUCUACAAAAUCAGGUUCAAGGGACUUAAUUUGAAACUUCAAAUGUAUAUAAUGAUUUUAUUUUUUGGAAUUUUACUCUUCACUCAAACUCGGAAAAAUCUUGUACUCAUCAUAAGAUUCGUACUCAAUUUUCACUCCUUGCUUCUCAAAAUGUUAAAAAAUACGAGACCUACAAACAAUUUUUGUUUCAUUCAUGCUCUUUUUUCACAGAAAGGUCAAAAACGAAAGAACAAUACGUCCUCUCAUUCUUUCUUCCGUUUGUUUUCUUUCUCCUAGUGUUUUAAUGUAGAGUAAACAUACUUCUUCAAAAAAAUGUAGAGCAAACAUAACCCAGUGUUGAAUUUUGAAGUGUUAUGCCAUUUUUUUAUCCAUGAUUUCAAUUAACAUGCUACACAUCAAACUUAAUUUCAAAAGUCAAAUUUUUUUUUUUUAUGAUAUAAAGGCUAGGCUCCAAAAACAAAAGCAUAAAAAUAUUUAGGAAAUGAAAUACAAGCAGUGUUUGCUAAUAAAACAUUUUUGAAAUAAAGGUAGGAAGAAACUCAAAAAUCCCAAGUGCAUCUAAUAAAAACCCUGGUUAGACUCUAGCAAAACAUGGAUCCACUGAAUAUCUCCAUAAUACCGAUGAAUCCGGACAACUGAGUCAAUAACAUAAAUGAGUAUUAAGACAACUGUCUUUAAGCAAUCGAAUAACAAGCCUAGAGUCGUAGUAAACUCUAAUCUUACUGUAGCCUCUAUUCCAAUCUAUGCUGAGACCAUGUCAAAUCCCCCACAGUUCUGCUUGCAAAACUGAGCAAGAUCCAAGCUUAUUAGCAUAAUGGAAAACAAAGUGUCCUUGAUCAUCUUGUAUAAGACCUCCACAAGCAGCAUUCAGAUCACAGUUCAAAACUACAUAAUCACACUUCAGAGCAACUUCACAAGAAUUUGGAGGAAUCAGUUUAUCAAAUCAGCAUUAAGUGCUGUCUGGUGAGUGUUCUGCACAUUAUAAAGAACAAGGAACAUGUGAGACUAGCAAAAUUUCAAGUUUUAAUGAUAUUUCAAACCAAUAUGUCACAGUAUAGUUCCAAUAGCUAAUGUUGAAAGACAUGAAACAACUGAGUAUCAGAUACUCUCGGAAUACUAUCACUAUGACAAGGCUCCUAAGUGCUAACCUGGGUUAGGAGGUUCAUUGCUAGGGCCAACUUGAUUUGAUGGUAAAUUGUUGGCUACAGGGUUUUGGACCUGGGAUCUAGUCUCCAUUGUAAGCAUCUUCGAAGAUAUUUUCUGUAGAUAAUCAGACUGAAAUUAGGGAAUGCCACAAUAAAUUGUCAAUCUUCCAUAUUCAUGCAAUCACGAGGCAUCUAUAAAUCAAUAAUCACGAGGCAUCUAAUUAGAGAUGUACUUGGCUUGUUGCAGAAGUAAAAAUCUUGUCUUCAAACCGUCAGGCAAUCUUCCAAAGUUCAUGCAAUCCCUCUUCACCAGAAACAAGAAGAUGGCUUUUUAAUGUCUCCAAGCUGCAAAAAUGAAAAACAAUAAAAUGAGUUAUUAAUAUGAUAUUUUCAUUAGCCAAUCGACAAAUAAUAUAAUAUGACAGACAUGUAAAAAGACCUCACUAGAAAUCACCCAUUCUAGUCCCUGUGAUCCAUAUCCGACGUUCAAAAAAUCAAGUAGUAGAAUGGACGUCAGAUAUGGAUUAAAGGGACUGGAAAUUUUCUUGGAAACAUCUUAUAUAGUCUCCUUAAAAAAAUUCUUGGUGACAUAACUAAAAUAAAUCAUAUUAAAACAUAUGUUUACAUUUUGUUGACAAUUCUUUGGCGUGAUUCAGCUGGAAAUUGACCUCUCCAAUCACUAGGAUCCAUAUUCAGUUCAGCACCUUGAUUAAUGGUAUCCAUCAAAUUAACUGAAAACACUGAAGAAAAAAAUAGAAUAUUCGCGUUAAAAUCAAUGUCAUUCUAGCUUCAAGUCGGAAUCAAUUCUACUAGACAACAACCAAAUAUGUGAAAAUCAAUUUUGAUGGAGGAAAUUUAAUCAUCGAUCAAAGAACAAGAAUCAAAUUGAAACAUACAAUAAUUAAAGAAUCAAUUAAGUAAUCAUAUAACUAUACCCAAAAUCAAAGCCAAAACUAAACUGAAAAUGAAAGAGGAGAUUUAAUCAUCCAAAAAAACUGAAGGAACACGAAACGAAGAGAGAGUAAUGGAACCUGAUGGUGGUGGUAUGCGGCGGAGAAGAAUAUUCCGGUGGUGGCGUGAGCAGUGGUUAACGGUUAUGUUGUGUGUUGGCUCAAGAAGGAGCUUUCGCGUUAAGUAUGACUCUCUUUGUUUGGAAUCAAUCAGUUGGUCCCCCAAAAUCUAUUAAAAGUGAUAAUUGUUCAAUAAAUCUCUAAAAUUUCUAACAUUUAUUUAAAAUAAAAAUGUUCAUUGGAAUUUACACUUAUUAAUCGGUGUCUAAUUCAUAAAAAAAUACUAUGAUCAGAAGUUGUGGCGUUGUCAAGACCUUUAGUUAGAGAUUCAAAAUUAUAAAUUGGUUUGAAUACUAUGAUUUGGUUCAAUUUUUUAAAGAAAAAGUUUGAAAUAAUUCAAAAUAUUUGUAAUUUUUUCUUACCAAAUUUGAAACAAAUUCAUAGAGAACAAAUUGGUUUGGUAAGUUGAUUAGGAUUGAGAUUUGUUAAAGUGUUGAUCCAGCAUUGUUUGCAUUUUAAAGCAAUUACAAUAAAUAAACUACACAUUCUAUAAAAGCAUUUUAAUAGGGUGAACUAAAAAAAAUUAAAGCGGGUAAAUUAUGUUUGCUUUUUGUAGGGUCAAAUUAUCAUGUAAAAGUUUUUUUUUUUUUUGAAAAGAAUCGACUAAUCCGAAGGGAUCAAUCCCACCGCCCACUUGCGGGGAGCCCCGUUUAAAGCCAGAGCAAACUCUGUAUGGACUUAGCCCACCAAAAUUGGCACCAGAGGGAAUCGAACCUGAGACCUCUGGAGGAGCAAACCCCAAGAUCCCAAGCCAACCACUAGGCCAACCCCAAAUGAAUUAUCUUGUAAAAGUUAAUCAAUCUAUAGUUAAUUUAAACAGUUUUUAAUUUAAUGGUGAUAGUUUAUUAAGUACUCAAAUUUGACCCUACAUGUUUAUAUUUUGUUAUUUGUAAUUAGUUUUGAUUCAAAACUAAUAUUUAUUUAACAAUUUUUAAAUAAAUAUGGGAAGAAUCAAUAUUGUUUUUGUAUACUUUUUAACUAAAGCGAGUUUUUCUCAUAUAAAAUGUAAGUCUUUUUUUAUCAAAUAGUUUAGUAGUUAUAAAUUCAUCUUUUAAAUUGAAUUAGUGGAGAAUUUGAGUCGAACAUCUUUACAUAUAUAAUGCAAUGUGCUUAGUAUUCGAGUUAAAUUUAUUGGACAAUAAACAUGAGUCUUUUUUCAUUAAAAAAUAAAUUAGUAUUUAUGUAUGGGUAACAUAAUAAAGACCGAAUCUUUAAAAAAAAAAAAAAAAUACUCCCUCUGUUUUAUGAAACUUCAAAUGAAAUAUUAAAUUUGCAAAUGUACUCUAAAUGAAAAUACAGAUGAUAAUAAUGGUAGAAAAUAUUUAAUCAAAAAAGUAUUUUAUCUUUCUAUUUGAAAUGGUAGUGACUACACUAGUGAGACUUAUCUGUAUUACUUUUUGAAGGAGUGAGACUUAUUUUAUGUUUAGUGAGAUAAUCGAUUUUUUUAGAGGUACUGAAAAUGUGAGACUCGCAGUUUGAUUUUUUCAACUUAUUUUUUUCCCUUCUUGCAAUGAAAGUUUGAUUAUCAACUUGCAGUCACGAAACCAGUACUACACUUCAUGAUUUCACUCCUUGCAUCUCCAAAUGUUCCAAAAUAAGACCAUUGCUAACAAUUUUUGUUCCGAUCCUUCUCUUUUUAUAGAAAGGUUAUAAACGACCUGGCAUUAACUUUUCUCCUGAAGCUUUCAUAUGGAGUAAACAGAAUAUAGUGUUGAAUUUUGGAAGUGUUAGACCAAUUUUUAUCCAUAGUUAUAUAUUCAUAUAAAUAAUCUAUAUAUAUGAAUCUACUAAAUAUCUACAUAAUGACGGGAGUUGUGUUAUUUGAACAACCAUUUGAACGAAAACUUAUGAGACAACCAUAAAUUUACAAAGAAAAUGGGGUAUUGACACAAAAACCAAAGCAAUAGAGAGAGAAAGUAAAAACAUAAUGUAAAUAUGAGAGAGAAAAUUGUUACAAAAGUUGUCAAAAAGAUGGUUGUAUAAAUAUCAUUUCUCUAAUGACGGUGUGAAUCCGGUGAAUUAAGUCAACAAGAGCAUAUCACAAAUGAGUAAUAAGACAACUGUCCAUAACCAAUUGAAUUGCAAGCUAAGUUCCCAGCUUAGUAGUGUAAUGAAUGUCCUACAUCAUCUUAGUAUAAGACCUCCACAAGCUUAGUUCAAAACUGCAGUGGCAAUCCCCAAAAGUUACAAUGACAGCAAAGGUAUCAAUUACUAAAUAAAAGAAAACAAUUAAGAGAAAUAAUGUAGUACCUCAAUCUUUGGCCUUUUGAUAAUGGAUGUUGCAAUUGGCUCCAAAUCAGAAGCCUCUAUAGCAUUUAACUGCUUGAUACUAUCAUUCACACAACCAGCGGAUGAUACAACAUCAAAGGGUGUAGCAUUGAUGCAACGUUUCAUCUUCCUGGAUCCAUUCACACCAUCUUGGGGUAGGAAAUUUCUAUCCUGAAGGUGACAAUUAGUCAUGGCAACCAAAUCUUCACCAACGGAAACUAUGGAUCCAUUGCCUGGAGCCGACGCUGCUAUCCUAUCAAUCAUGCUGAUAACUGAACUAGUAUCGCUGACAGCUGCACUUAAAGCCGCAGGGGUCAAUGAACUCACCUGGAAUCAUGAUUAGACAUAAAUUAGUCAUCUACAACUCCAAAAUUAAAAGAAACUUACGUCAUAUUUGUACAAACUAUGGUCACAAAUACAGAUCGGACCAGGUUUAGAUAAACUAGACUAACCGCUUUAACUAGGCGGUCCAUAAGCUCCUCAGUAACAGUUGACUUUCCUGACGAGGGCGCUAAUGCAUUACCAAUAUGUUGCUCAAAAACCCCUGGCUUAACACCAAUUACUUGCCUCAUCUUCAUGUCAUUUACAUCAUUCAUUUGGUGAAGUUGUUGCCUUUGAGUAACUUGGGGCUGCGUUUGUGACAUGGAGUGCGUGUGAGGUGGGGGAAGCUGCCCUGGCUGCAGUGAUGACAUUUCCCUAGGUCUAUUUGUAUUUAUGAAAUUUAUAAUCUGCUUCUCAUAUGAACCCAGUUUCUCUUUCAAACUAGGUGAGAUGUUGCUCUUGGAAACCUGGAGGAAUGUUAUAAGACGCUCCAACAUCAGUUUAAAUACCUUAAGCUUUUCAAGCUGAUCCGACUUUGGCUGGUGGGGAAGAGAAUCAUGCUGAUAGAAAAAAGAAGAUACAACAUUAAACACAAUAAAAAUAAGUUAGAAACAAAUGAAAAAACAUUUAAAGCUUCCUUUCAAGAAGGGUGAUCUCUUGUCAGUGUUCGGCACACUGCAACCUUCAGAGUUUUCCGGGAUAAUUAUGACACAAAAGGAUUACAAAGUUGCCUAACAAAAUGUACCUGCUGAAGUUUCGUUGCUAUUUUCUGAUACAUCUCAUUGAGCUCCGGCAAGUAGCUCUCUUUCAUAACUUUGAUCUAUUGUUAAAAUCAUCAGAAUCAAUAAAGAAUGUGUUAGAAACCAUGAAAUAUGUCACACAAGAAUAUUUGGACUAUAGUUGUAUUAAAUGGCACAGUAAGUAAAAUAGUUUUUUCCAUUUGUAAGGCGUCGUAAAUUGCAAGUUUCGUUUGUGUGCUGAAAUUGGGAAGAUGCGACUACGCAUUUGGUUACCCAUGAGCCCAAGACUUUGAUAAUUGAAUUGAAAACUUCAAAACUCAUCAAAUCAAUACCAUCUAGGGGUGUUCAAAACCGAACCAACCCAAUAGAAAAACCGCAAACCAAACCAAACCAAUCCAAACCAAAACCGCAAAAAACCGCACUUGGUUCGGAUGAAUUCGGAUGAAUUUUGCACUGAACCGCGCGGUUUGAUUUGGUUUGCGGUUUGCAUCUCAGCUACCGAACCAAACCAAACCAAACCGCAAGAAUAAUGAAUGUUACUUAAACAUGUACUAGCCCAAUUACAUAGCCCAGGAAUAAUCUCUUUUGAUUCGAUUUUUCCAUUGUUGCACCAUGAGGUUCAAUUCUAAUUCCUUUCCAUCUCUUUUAAUUCAUUUCCAGUGAUGAAUUUGUUUCCUUUUCUUUCCAAUAAUUUGCUUCAUGCUUAUGUUUCUUCUUAAUUUUACCUAUUUUAAUAUAAGUUUUACCUAAUAUUUUAUCAUAUAAACAACAAAAUAAAAUGCCCUAUGUUUAUUUUGUAAUAAGUUGGCAAUAUUAGAGUUAAUGUAAUAUUUUUUAUCUCGCGAUAAACCGCACAAGCCGAACCAAUCCAAACCGCAUUGGUUUGGUUUGGAUGACUUUUUAAAAAUCAACCGAACCAAACCAAACCGCAUGCUUUUUUAUCUCGCGGUUUGGAUGACUUUUAUGCUCAAAACCGAACCAAACCGCACCGCGAACACCCCUACAGCAUACCAUCUAUAUCAGCAAAGAGUCAAUUAAAUAAUUACAACAAGUCUGAAGUCUUUAUUAAUGCUAUAGGAUAAAAAGUGUAGUACAGAAAAUCAAAAUGAAAAAAUUCAUUAUAGAUGCAGCCCAAAUCUUUUCCUAUAUUAGAUGAAGGAUAAGAAUCAUCCCCCAAGAAAAGCAAAAAGUGUGGAUUCGUCUCCAUUUUUUUUAAUUAACUAGUGAGAAUUCCAUGUUCCUACUAUUAAGAUAUUUCUCGGCAUAAAAAGCCAUUUAUUUGACAAUUUUCAGUUGAUAAACCCAAUUUUCCCAAGAAAUAAAGAUAAGAAAGUAGCAUAAUACCUUUUGAUAUACUUCUUCUUGCCAAUCACCCCCACUUGGCUUUCCAGUCUUUGCAGUUGAAUCCAGAGAAGACAUUUUGUUAGGUCUAUAUGUAUUUAUGCAAUUUAUAAUCUGCUUCUCACAUGAACCCAGUUUCUCCUUUAAACAAGGUGAGAUGUUGCUCUUGGAAACCUGGAGGAAUGUUAUCAGACGUUCCAACACCAUUUUAAAUUCUUUAAGCAUUUCAAGCUCAUCCGACUUUGGCUGCUGGGGAAGAGAAUCAUGCUGAUAGAAAAAAGAGGAUACAACAUUAAACACAAUUAAAAUAAGUUAUAAGCAAAUGAAAAAAAAAUAAAAGCUUCCUUUCAAGAAGGGUGAUGGCUUGUUAGUGUUGAGCACACACUGCAACCUUAAAAGUUUUCCAGGAUAACUAUAAAAGAAAAGGAUUCUAUAUCGAUAAUAAGCUAUUAAAAAUUUGCCUAACAAAAGGUACCUGCUGAAGUUUCGUUGCAAUUUUCUGAAUCAUCUCACUAAGCUUUGGCAAGUAGCUCUCUUUCAUAGCUUUGAUCUAUUGUUAAAAUCAUCAUAAUCAAAUAAAGAACGUUUUAGAAACCAUGAAAUAUCUCAUGCAAGAAUAUCUGUAUUACUGUUGUAUUAAGUGACACCGUAAGUAAAAUAAUUUCUUCUAUUUGUAAAGCAUCAUAGAUUGCAAGUUUCAUUUUCGGGCUUAAAUUGGGAAGAUGCAAUUACGCAUUUGACUACAUGCGAGACCAUGAUUUUAAAUAUUGAAUUGAAAACUUUAAAACCCAUCAAAGCAAUUCCAUCUAUAUCAGCAAAAUUUAAUAAUUACAAUAAGUCUUUAUUGAGGUAGCAAUUACUAUAGGAUAAACAAAGUAGUACAAAAUUCACUGCAGAAAACCAAAGUGAAAAUAUUCAUUAUAGAUGCAGCCCGCAUCUGAAGGAUAAGAAAUAGAAAUCAGACACAUAAAAGCCAGAAAAUGUGGAUUCAUGUCCAUUUUUUUCCCUAAACUAGCAAGAAUUCCACGUUCCUUCUAUUAAGAUAUUUCUUGGCACAAAAGUCAUUUGUUUGUCAAUUUUCUAUUAAUAAAUCCAAUUUACCCAAUAAAUAAAGAUGAGAAAGUAGCAUAAUACAUUUUGAUAUAUUUCUUCUUGCCAAUCACCACCAUUUGGUUGUCCGGUCUGUGCUACUGAAUCCAGAGAAUCUACAAAGAUAUAUUAUGAUACACACAUUAGCAUACAAGGCUAAUAAAAUGUGGAAAUCUGCAACUUUUUUUUUUCUUUUCAGUUUGACUAUUUAAUAGAUAGUAUAGAACAGAUGGGAUAAUCACAAAUUAACUUGCAUGACUUUACUCUGCCAAUUAGAAAAAAUGCAUUUAAGAAAUAUUGUGGUUUCCUAUGUUUUACUUUUCCUUUUCUUUGCAAGUGUUUGUUAAGAAUUGUUGAAAGCAUAAGAGUGUUAUCCUAGACUGUCAAAAUCAAAAUCCUACAUAUAAAACCCUAUUGAUUCUACACAUUAGAAAGGCAGGAGACGCCCAAUACCAGAAGGAAAUUCAUUAUGCUGAGAUUGCAUGGAAUGCAUCCCAGCACAUAGAAUCAGCAUCUCAUAUUCCAAAACAAACUUUUCAAAACCUCCAUUUCUAGUCGAUGCGGGACUAACCACUCACACUUGAAUUCCAGCAAUUUCCCCCUCAAGUGUGAGUCACCCACAUCACUAGCCUUGAUCCACACUAGGAUCCCACUCACACUUGUUUAAUCGAUGCCACUAUUUAGACUUGCCGGCUUUUGACUCAGUUUUGCAGAGGACGCUCUUCUAGUUCUACCUUUGACCUUGAAAUUGUGGUUCCACGACUUGAUUUGUUCUAUCAAAGAUCGCUGCACAACUCUAGACCUAUUUUGGUAUAUUACAUCUGCGGUCCAGCCCAUUACAAUUAACUUAAAUGUCAAUCUUUAAGUGUUUUAAGAUUCUGAUGUGUAACAUCAACUUUUGACCUUAAUUCUUCAAUUAGCGGCUGUAGACCAUCUUUUUCUCGGUUUCCUUUUUUCCCUAGGACAGACAGAACAUCGACCUUAAACACUUUACACUCUCACAAUCUACACAUCUAACCCUAAAUGAUCUGGUGAAACUGUGCAGAGUGCUGGAUCGUCCGCAUGCCUGAAUUUCCGGUGACACUGUAUAUGUUUAUCUUUAUCUUUCUUACUUUUUAUUUUCUGCAACUUACACGUUUAUAAAAAAUAUACACAAAAACAAAAAGACACCGUAAUGAUUGACCAAGUAGGAGAUGCAAAGAAAAACUAUGAUGUAAUGUCAGAAUCCAAUUGAUGAAUGAUUCAUUAACAACACAAGAAUAAUAUUAAUAUAAAAAAAAUUAAAAGCAAUAGAGGUUGAAGAUAUAGUACAAGGAUCAUGUAGGACAAGCAAAACUUAAAGUUUUAAUGAUAUUUCAAAGCAAAAUGUCAGCGUAUAGUCUCAAUAGCUGAUGCUGAAAGACAUGAAACAACUGAGAGCCAGAUACUCUCGGAAUAGUAUCAACAUGCCAGGGCUCUUAAAUGCAAACCUGGAUAAGGAGGUUGAUUGCUAGGGCCAACUUGAUUCGGCGGUAUAUUGUUGGCAAUAGUGCCCUGGGAUUUAGUCUCCAUCGUAAGCAUCUUCAAAGAUAUUUUCCGUAGAUAAUCAGACUGAAAUUAGAAAAUGCCAGAAUAAAUGGUCAAUCUUCUAUAAUGGUAUGUGUUUGUUGUAUAGGUAACUAUAAUUUGAUAAUCAAGUGGCUUCUAAUUAGCGAUAUACCUGGCUUGUUGCAGCAGUAUAAAUCUUCUCUUCAAACCUUUGGGCAAUCUUCCAAAGUUCAUGCAAUCCUUCUUGACCAGAAACAGGAAGAUGCCUUUUUAAUGUGUCCAUACUCCAAAAUUGAAAAACAAUGGUUCAAUUAUUAAAUAAUAUGAAUUAUUGAUAUGUUAUAUUCAUUAGACAAUCCUCAAAUGAUGGAAUAUGACUCACAUGAAAGAAGACCUAAUUGAAAUCAUCUAGACAUGUUCUCAUAAAAAAUAAAAAAAUAAACAGAUAGUAGAAUGGAUAUCAGACAUGGAUUACAGAAACUAUAAUUUUUCUUGGUAUCAUUUUAGAUAAUCUUCUUCUUAAAAAAAAAAUCUUUGUAACAUGAGGAAAAUUCAAUCCUAAUAAAAGCACUAUAAUUUUCCGCUAAACAUCCAUUUUCCAUAAAACCGCAAACAAAAUGAGAAGACCGUCACACGAGAGCCAAAUACACAACUCUGAAACAGUACGCAGAAAACCCCAAGUUCUUGUUCAAAUCAACAAGGUAGCAUUCUCCACCCAAACACACCACACGUUUACAAAGAUAGCAGAUCAAUCAACAGUUUAUAUUUAAUCGUUCUUCUGAUAUGAAUUAAUAGUAAAAAACUCAUCAAAUCAGUGAUAGAGUACUAAAACUAGAGCUUACAUUUUGUUGACAAUUCUUUGGCGUGAUUCAGGCUGCAAUUGACCUCUCCAAUCACUAGUAUCCAUAUUCGGUUCAGCACCUUGAUUAGGUCUCCAAUUAUUG
rnacentral:lncRNA from 1 species